rnacentral:lncRNA from 1 species
UAUCAAAUGAACACUAAUUAGUUGAUUUGGAUAGAGUACUAGGAUUUAAUCAUCAGUGUUUUGCUUCACAGGAUGACAUAUGAGAAUGAAUUGAAUGACCAGACGAUCGUUCCAUCUCCUCAUUCAUCUCACCUCAUCAAGCAAUGUUCUAUUCAAAAUGAAAAGCAGAAAGACAAAAUGAGCAAAUUAUCAGCAAACAAUGUCAGGUGCUCUUCGGAACGACAAUUUUCCACUCAGCGGAACAUUGUCACUCAAGAUGCAGAUCAUGGUGAAGUUUCAUCAUCUACUAGCAACAGUGAAAAAAGCACUUCAAAGAAUCCAGAAGCCCAUACCCCAGCCACUCUUCAAUUUCUUCAAGAGGCACUGGCCUCUGAGGGACUUUGUUUCCUAGCUAAAGAUGACUCUUUUCUGAAGCUGACAAGAGAUGAGAUGGUUGCAGCCUUCCAAGCAGAAAUGACAGAUGUGGAAGACACAGCUGCCAUGCUGUUGGAGAGACGGAAAAGCUCAACUUCAUCUUUGUAAAGGGCCUAUAACAUGGCCGUUCCACUGUUUUCUUGGCAGUAUUGCUCUAUAGUGGUAGCCACUUUUGUGUUUUUGGAUGAUUACCAUGAAAGCGCUACACAAUCUGUUCAUGGUGGCCUGAUUGAUUUCCAGCCUGAUAGGCAAGCAGAAGAGAUGGCAGAUGGAAAAGGGGGAGGGGUUUUUUUUGGCUGCCUUAGAAGAGAUUUUAGGAAUGGAUUCCUACAGAGAAUUGCACAGGUGAAAAGAGAAUUUCUUGCUCGUCCAGGUCUUUAUACAUUCGUAACAUCUAUAGCAUGUAACUUAGAUGGAUUAUGACAUAGUUCCAAAGUAUUGUAGCAUUACUUCCCUUUGACAGUUUGGCGAGGAUUCUGAACAAUGCCCUUAAAUUAUAUUGGAGAAUCUGAAGAAAAAGUAAAAAUGAUUAAAAACUAACACUUUUAAUAAAUAGAAAGUCCCCAAAUGGUUUUCUUUAUACAUUUGAAUUUUCAUUUAUAUAUUUUAAACCUCAAAAGAUUUGAACGCAGUUUACACAUAAAAAUUAUAAAUGGCUGUUACAAACAGUGAAAUUUAGAUAACUGAUCAGUUUGGGUGUGUGUUUUUUUUUUUAGAAAAAUACAGACAUUCAUUCAUACAAUCCAAUAGUGGGGAAGAAGAUUUUUACUGCUUAUUUAUAUUAAAUCUCCAAGCUGUUAUAAAGCCAUUAACAAAAUAUACAGUAUUUUUCCCAGUACAAGGUACUUCAAUAGUGAACCAUUUGUCUCAACAUUUAAAUUACACUUUAUACAUUUUAGAUUAUGUAUGAAUUCAGACUUUUAUCUCAUUUUAUUCCUAGGGUUCAUAAUAGUUUGGAAUUUUGGGACUCCACUGAAAUUUAAGGAAUUAAAGAGCUUUAAAUUAAAACAUUCACACUUUAAAAAGCUAGCUGUAAUUUCCAAAUCUAUAUUUAGAAAGUUGUUCGAGUUCCAACCAUAGUGAGUUAGGAAAUCUCUAAAUUUAAAUUCCAACUCUUUAAAUUAUAGAAUUCAGAUCUUUAAAGAACUGCAUAUUCUUGGUUUAUAUUUUUUGUUGUUUC